GAGAAAGAGAGAGAGAGAGAACACAAGUGGGGGGAGGGGCAGAGGGAGAAGCAGACUCCCAGCUCAGCAGGGAGCCCGAUGCGGGACUUGAUCCCAGGGUCCUGGGAUCAUGACCUGAGCCGAAGGCAGAAGCUUACCGCUUACUGGACUGAGCCACCCAGGCGUCCCUCAUGAAUAAAAAUUUUAAUAUCUUUGCUAUCAUUUUUCUAGAGAGUAGGGGAAAAUACUUGUUAUCUAUGAAAAGUACUCAGACGAAGCAGUAGAUAAAACUUUGAAUAUACAGAAAUACGUAAAAGCCAUUCUAUUAGACAGAUCACCAGUGAACAUGAGCUGCUUUAAAAAAGUUGGCAUCAUCCUUAGAGCUUUCCCCCAGAGGCGGAAGUUCUGGCUAGACUCACGCGGUUGGUCUGUGACCUUGAGUCUUCCUCUAUUUAACACAGAGUCAUGUGGCGGUAUGUCACAUGCCCAUAUAGCAAGGCCAGAAUAAUCCCAGCAUGGGCACGCCUCUCCCAUAUAUUCACAUACAACGCACGUGUAUUUACAGUGCGGUCUCACAGCUGAGCGAGCUAACCUGGAAGAUUUCCUUUGUGUUUCGGUGUGGAUUUUGAUGGAGAGGGGAUGGAGAGAUUUAAGGAAUCCGGUUGGCCAAGAGACCAUGUACAGCGCCGGCUUAGUUUCCAUUGCUUCUACCAGCCAGCGGUGGAUCCAGAUGGUGGUUCCCAGUCCUCCAGGAGAUAACACUUUCACUGAUAAAGGUCUUAGAUGGAAUCCUUAGUCCUAAACCCAGGUCUUUCUGAUGUCAAAGUUCAUGCUCUUUCUGCUACAGGAGCUACGUCUCUAUACUACGUAAACAAAUGAAGCGAGUCACCUGAAGCUGCUAGGACAAUAAAGCAUUUUCAUUUCAUCUCUUGUUUAGAGCUCCAUUCUCUUUCAUCUUGGCAAAGACAGACCCCUUCUGGAACUUUGAAACCUACUUAAAAAAGAAAAAAAACAAAAAACCUGAGACUGUAACACAUGCAGAGCUAUUUCCAGGGCUCACAUGUAAAGGAACAUAUCUAAAGAGGUACAGAGGGUC